rnacentral:lncRNA from 1 species
GCCCACAAAGCUGGGAACCUUGGAGCACUCUGCACAGCUUGCAGCCUCCCUCAGCCUUGAAGCAGGUGAUUCAGACUUUGCUGCCACUGAAUAAGAGAUCACCUGGGGUGUAGCCUUCCUACUUAGAUGGCUAUAUUGUUAUGUCAACUACUGCUCCCCUUCUCUGAGACUCUGCUACCUGCUGAGAGACCCUUGAGACUUUCCGGAGACGCAUCCUAUUCUGCACGUCUACAGGCUGGUUCCAGGCACUAAGAAUGGAUUGGCAGGGGAUGGGCCUCCCCUCUUUAUAAGCAAGACUCUUAGUAAACUUUGGGGCCUUGAUCAGAGAAAAAUUUGUCUAGUUUCUUUCAGCCCCAGCCUGCCCUUCAGG